UACGGAGGGUGCAAGCGUUAGUCGGAAUUACUGGGCGUAAAGGGCGCGUAGGCUGGAAGGUAAGUCAGCUGUGAAAUCCCGGAGCUCAACUCCGGAAGUGCAUCUGAUACUGCCUUUCUUGAGGAUAAGCGGAGAAAACGGAAUUCCACGUGUAGCGGUGAAAUGCGUAGAUAUGUGGAAGAACACCUGUGGCGAAAGCGGUUUUCUAGUUUAGACCUGACGCUGAGGCGCGAAAGCAAGGGGAGCAAACAGG
rnacentral:rRNA from 1 species